UCGGAUGAGCGGAAACACCACACUCUUGAGCUUGAGAAGUUUGUUUGAAAGCCAGGAGAAGGAAGUCUUUGGGUUUGUGGUCCAGUGGUUCAAGGAGGUUGUGAACCUACGAAAUUUUGCCGAGAUCAAAGACGAUGAUUUGUAAAUGUGGACAUCCUCCUCCUCGACUCUAAGGUUUUUCCGGCAUUGAAACACUUAAUUAUGGAACCUUUUCAAACAUCAGCUUUUUUUGGGUCAAACAUAAACUUAGUUGGAUGAAUAUGGAUUCGUUUGUUGAUUUUUUUUUUUCAAUUUUUCCGGCCUUACAACUUUUAAUUAUCGAUCCUUUAUAUACAUAAAAAAUUAUUUAUAUGAGAUUAAACAUAUUACAGUGAUGAAUACAUAUUAUUUCACUAACCUUUUUACAAAUUUCCGGCGUAAAAAACUUUUAGUUAUCGAGCCUUUUUAUACAGAAACUUAAGUUUAUAUAUAUGAUAAUAUGAGACCAUAUUUUGGAUUCGUACGUUCACUUUGUUUCAAUUUGUUCAUGUACGUUCACCGUUUGAAUACCUUCAAGCAUCUUUUCAAGGAGGGCUCAAUGUACGUCAGCAGGUUUGAUGUGACUCGGAGCAAUCUAAACUUCAUGCUGUCCGACUCUCCACUAUCCAUCCGACUCAAUGACUCAACCACUUUCAAAGAGAAAACCGUACCGAAUAGUCCACACUUUCAAGGCAAAGACCUUGUCAUGGUUACCAUUAAAAUCAAUAGAAACAAGUUCAUGGCUUACGAGGUGAUCCCAUGGUUGUUGCAACAAGCAUAAAUCCCAAGCUUAUAGGAAGGCUGUUUGUUCCUGAAUGCCACAGCAGGAACACGAUUAUAUUUCGACAAGGUGACUGAUGCAGGCGAGAGUUACUAUUAUUAGCUGGAGAUGGAGAGAACCCAGGAGAUAGUCAGCUCCCUCGUUUUUUUUUGCAGACAUUGCAUGCAAGAGCUACACAUUCCAGGUCAGAUUUAUCGACUACAAUUUCAGUGCUAAACAUCUAACGUUCACUGUCUCACGCAUCAUGGAAGAGGGGGACGUCUUCCCCUCCCUGACUUUGUUACUGAUGAGGAGGGCAACAAUGGUCCUGGAGAUGAUAUGCCUGGGAUGACCUCAUUGUCUACCGAGGUGUGCGUUGGUGGUGAUAAAAAGGAUAAAGGACCAACUCUUGAAACAACUUCAAUUGGUCUCAUCACCAAAAACUCUCAUGGCACAUCAUCUUCCAAGUUCACCAAGAAGGCACACAUCACAUAGGUUGCGAGGAUGCAAUAUGUGGCUACAUUAAUUAGUAUCUAUUUGAAUAAUGCUUACGAACCAUUGUCGGAUUUUGACUACUCUGCUAUGUUUUUCUCAAUGAAUCUUAUAUAUUAUGUUUAAGUUUUAACUAAUGGUUAUAUUACUCCCAAGUCAUUCAACAACUUAAGUUUUAUAUAUAUAUGUACACAGCACUACAAUUCAUUCAAAAUAUUAAAAAAAAACAAGUAAAUCACAUUUAAAAAAAUAAAACUAAUAUGUGUGAUGUAAGGAACUACAUAUAAUAGGUUGACCAUAUAUCUACGUUUUAAAAAAUAAGACCACGAGUUGUUCGUUUCUCCAAAUGUAACACUCUCGAUACAAAUUACUCUUUACAUUUCAAGUAAUAUUUUGACAAAAUUAUGCAAUCCGGUUUAUUUUUUUUUUUUUAAUAACCGAGUGUCCUGGCCCCACCGUGGUGGUCCAGACUAGAGACCGAACCCUUUAGCGGCGCGGACGCACACCCGAGGGUGGGUCAUGGCCAGGCAACGGUCUUCGGUCUCGGGCGCCAGAGCAAGUCCGCAUGUAAUUUCCCUGGUGGCCAGUGCGAGUCAAACCCGGGGCCGUACUUGCAGCCGCAAGCCGUUUACCACCAGACUAACUCGUCCUUUAUGCAAUCCGGUUUAUGUCUUAGAUCAAAGUUCAAACGUCUUCCAGCAUAUUAACAGAAUUCAAGACUCUUUUUGAGCAACAAAGGUGCAUACCUAUACAUGUUGUCCAUGAGAACCCUCUCUUUCGAGAUGAAAAACUCACUAUGUGACCUCCCUUUAGUACGAAAGAAGUCUUACAUAACUAAUAUGAUCUUCAUAUUGCCACCAAAAAGAUGUCGUCUCAAUGCACUGGAAAAUCGUUGCACUGAUCGUUUUUGCUAUAAUCAAAUGGAGAAAUUCUUACGCUUCGUUUCAACAUAGAAUCAACACCCAAAGUCAUUCGGCCAAUCUCAUACUUCACGAUUUACAUUGUCUACAGUUUUCAUUUACUUUCCUCUUUGUUACAGUUUUCCUCUAUCAAUAUUACUCGAUCCUUUAAAAUAUAUACUUGGACGUUUAAUUAUUAAAGCUUAAGAAAACUGCAUGCUAGGAUUCAACGAUUUAUAAAAACCAAAACUUCUUCCUCUUACCAAAUACAGAGCUAUAUAAUAUGUCUGCUAUAAGAUAUUAAUUUCUUAAAGCUAAUAGCCAUACUGUCCACUUCCAAGAUCUUGUAUACAUGCAUAUAAUACAAUGACAUAAGUACAAAACCCAAAACUUCUCCCAACUACAAAAUUAUUUAAACCCAAACUACCAAUUUUUCGAAAUCCCAUUCCAAAUUAAGAAAACAGAAAAACAAUGACCACAUCGACUAUUGGUUCAAAAUUUUGAAAGGCCAACAAGACCUUCUCAAAUCCCACGACUUCUUUGAUAUAUGUUGUUACUCCGCUUCUUCUCCAAUUCAAACUCCUCUCUUAAAAAAAAUUCACAAGUAUUAAAUAUAGCCCUCCGAUUUCGGUUUCCUGAAACUGAACCGUCAGUUUUCAGGUAACCGAAAUUUUGAAAACUAAUUCUGAAAUUAACCGAAUUAUAUUUUGGUUUGGUUCGGUUCAGUUAUCGGUUAAAUUUGGUUUCACUUUUUUCCGAAAUUAACCGAUUUUUUUUUUUGGUUUUGGUUAGUUUCAAUAUAAUUUUCAAAAAAAGUGGGAUAUUUUUGGUUAAAUUCAGUUGUUUUGGUUAAAUUCGGUUUUUUUCAUUUUACAGUAAAUUUGGUUUGGUUUUUUGGUUAUUUUCGGGUAUUUUUGGUUUUUAAUUUUUUUUCUUUUGAAAUACGAAAACCGUACCGAAUUGAACCAAAAACCAAAUUAUUUUUCAAAAUCCUUGAACUCAAAACUGUGAUCGGACCAAAAACUAAAUAUUUCGAUUCAGUUUGGUUCGGUUCGGCUUGGACAAAAACCGCAUGGAUAAUUAUAUCCUAUAAGCAAGCUUUAGAAACAAAUAAAAUAACUUAUAUCACAUCUUAUUCCCUUUCCAGUUCAACUCAUGCAUUCAACUCCUUCCUCAAAAAAUUAAUAAAAACUAACAUUAUUAUCCUACAAAUCACUUCCCUAGACAAACCUAGCACAACAACCAACCAAAGCUUCCAAAUUUCCUAUAACCUAAAUAAUAAGGAAUAGGAAGACAUAUCCCAUGCAUAGCGCGGAACGACCACUAAUUAUUAUUAUAUAAAGUUUCGAGUUACAGCGUGAGAAAUAGUUAUAAUGGGCCAAACACUCUUCAAAUAGUUACUUAACACAUGAAAGUCAAAGUUUCCUCAUAGAACAUUUGUACAAAGACCUUAGUGAUUACAUAAAAACAAAACUAAAUGAGAAACAUAUAGUCUGCAGAAUACUUAUGUCUGUGGAAUAAAGAGGAUAUGAAGUAUGAUCAAUCACCCCACCGUAACAAACCAUGAAUAUCUAUUUGGAGAAAAUGGAAAGACCUAGUUUUGAGAUGGAAUUAUUUGAGCAGAUUAAAGACUAAACCUUUUAGGUCUCUUAGGGUCAACGACCCAAAGCUCAGCGAAUUUAUCAGGAGCCAUGGCUUUCUUAGCCUCUAUUGAUUCCAAAUUCGAAGACCCAUCAACGGACAUGUUGUGCCCGUGUCUAGUCUAGGUCUCAGUUCUCAGCCUCAGAAAACGGGUUCUCGGACUUAGGAGUAGAUGGUCCAGCCGAGUCAGAUCCGGAUCCGAGUUUCUAAAUGUCUAUGUAUGAGCAGAAGAAGUCAUCAUCGGAUCCAAGCUCGUUGAACCCUCUGAAUGUUUCAGGUCUAGAUCUUCAGGUAAACGGAACUGAACCUCUGAAUAUGCUCGCCGGUAGUACAGACCGCCUAACGGAAUCGUCGUUGGAGUAAGAUUAGCUAGAGGUGGGCAUUGAACAGCGGCCGGCUCUAAAAUCAGCAAGCAGGGUGAAGGAGUGUUAGAGCUGAUAAUUUGCAGAGAUUGUACUUCUAGAUUUCGUAGAUAUGGGGGUGUUCAUUGCUGCAAGCAUGUAAAUCUAGAGGACUGGACUGUCUACAGUCAUAUCCAAUAAACCGAAAUAAAAGAAACAAAAAGAUUUGUUUAGUUGAAUGUUUUGUAGGUGACACGUGGCAAAAAAGGGAAGUAGGAGAGGUGAGGCGGCGCUCUAAGGAGCUUUUCUGAGCAACUUUAUUAAUAUAGAUAUGGAAAGUUCUACAAACAUGUAGAAAAUAUUUCAAUGAAGAAUACUCUCCACCAAAAAACUACAAAUCUUGUUUUAAAAACCAAAUGAAAACCCAAAAAGGAGAAAAAAAAAUUAACUUUAACCUGACAAAAAACAUCGACAACAAAAGAACACAAAUAAUCUUCACAAAUAGUAUUAAUGAACACACUGUCAACACAAACCGACUAUGCAUAUUCGUUAAUUGUGUAGUAGAAUGUCUGAUAUUUGUAAGAAAUUUUUUAUUAAACAAAUUUGUAAAAAAAUAUAAUUAUUGAUGUUGUGAAUUUAUGGAUGGACGUUUGGUAAGUUAAAAAUUGUAU